UACGUAGGGUGCAAGCGUUAAUCGGAAUUACUGGGCGUAAAGCGUGCGCAGGCGGCUUUGCAAGACAGAUGUGAAAUCCCCGGGCUUAACCUGGGAACUGCAUUUGUGACUGCAUGGCUGGAGUGCGGCAGAGGGGGAUGGAAUUCCUGGUGUAGCAGUGAAAUGCGUAGAUAUCAGGAGGAAUACCGAUGGCGAAGGCAGGUCUCUGGGCUAGAACUGACGCUCAUGCACGAAAGCGUGGGGAGCAAACAGG
rnacentral:rRNA from 1 species